ACACGACUACAUUAGAUACCCGUGUAGUCCAGGGUGUAAACGCUGCGGGCUUGGUGUUGGGGGUCCUUUGAGGGCGCCCAGUGCCGGAGAGAAGUUGUUAAGCCUGCUACUUGGGAGUACGUCCGCAAGGAUGAAACUUAAAGGAAUUGGCGGGGGAGCACCGCAACGGGAGGAGCGUGCGGUUUAAUUGGAUUCAACGCCGAAAAACUCACCAGCAGCGACUGUUACAUGAAAGUCAGGUUGAUGACCUUACUAGAUUUUCAG
rnacentral:rRNA from 1 species